UCUGUAAACACUUUUACAUCAGAUCAAAAGAUGAUUGGAGUGGGACUUUAAGCCAUUUAUUUUCACUGUUUAAACAAGCUGCUGACAGACGAUGCUUCACUUGAACCGUCUGGACAGCAGCAACACAGUGGUGAUUAUCAGACCUCCCAACCAAUCGAAGGCCAUUGCAGACGAGCCUGUGUCACAGACCUCCACUCAGCUCACCUGCACUCGCUGACACGAUGACAAGACCAGCACAAGAUCUAUGAGCGUGCAUCCUGCAGGGAUGAAGGAGAAAACGGAAGGUAAAGACGGGAUGAUGACAUGGCUUUGCAAGGCUCUCAGGAGGUCAGCGCAGAGAACUGUUAGCCUGGAGCGCAUACAGGUUGCAAACAAAGGUGUGUUGUGAGCAGAGCAGAAAGGGAUUCAAUUGCCAUCUCCACACCCAGUCCAGAUCCAGCAGGGGCUUACGUACGCUGGGAUCCCUGAGAGAGCCGCUUCAGCAAGAUGGAUGGCGGGUAGCGAGCUUCUAACUGAGCGCACUCAGCCCAGACAUCAUUGGGUCCGAGCAGAAUAAAGAGGUGGCGUCCCCUUGCCUGCUCUUCCCUAUUAGGAGAUGCUGCCCGGCUGACAGCAGCCCAUAAAUUACCCAGCCAGCUCAAACUGGAAAAGAAGCCGCUUACCUGAGCACGCUCACUCUGAGGUAUCAUCGCAGAGGUGGGACGCAAGAAUGGAAGGUCAAAAAGUUACGCAAUGACAGCAAACAGGAUGCUGGGUCAUGAAAAACUUUUAUUCUAUAUUUUUGGCAUUUUUGUGGCCUUACAGAUCAUAGUGUUAGAUUAGAUGUUAUUGUCC